rnacentral:tRNA from 1 species
AAGGCCUUAAGUUAUAUUAAACUAAUAACCUUCAAAGCUAUAAAUAAAGGGGUUCCUUUAGGCCUUG